GACGAACGCUGGCGGCGUGCUUAACACAUGCAAGUCGAACGAUGAAGUUCCUUCGGGAAUGGAUUAGUGGCGAACGGGUGAGGAACACGUGAGAAACCUGCCUUUCAUUUUGGGAUAACUCCGGGAAACCGGGGCUAAAACCGAAUACUCCGUCUUGGCGGCAUCGCUAAGCCGGGAAAAAAUUUUGAUGAAAGAUGGUCUCGCGGCCUAUCAGCUAGUUGGUGAGGUAAUGGCUCACCAAGGCGACGAC
rnacentral:rRNA from 1 species